rnacentral:rRNA from 1 species
AUUGAACGCUGGCGGAAUGCUUUACACAUGCAAGUCGAACGGCAGCACGGGGGCAACCCUGGUGGCGAGUGGCGAACGGGUGAGUAAUACAUCGGAACGUGCCCAGUCGUGGGGGAUAACGUAGCGAAAGCUACGCUAAUACCGCAUACGAUCUACGGAUGAAAGCGGGGGAUCGCAAGACCUCGCGCGAUUGGAGCGGCCGAUGGCAGAUUAGGUAGUUGGUGGGGUAAAGGCUCACCAAGCCUUCGAUCUGUAGCUGGUCUGAGAGGACGACCAGCCACACUGGGACUGAGACACGGCCCAGACUCCUACGGGAGGCAGCAGUGGGGAAUUUUGGACAAUGGGCGAAAGCCUGAUCCAGCCAUUCCGCGUGCAGGAUGAAGGCCCUCGGGUUGUAAACUGCUUUUGUACGGAACGAAACGGCCUUUUCUAAUACAGAGGGCUAAUGACGGUACCGUAAGAAUAAGCACCGGCUAACUACGUGCCAGCAGCCGCGGUAAAGUAGU